UACGUAGGGUGCGAGCGCUGUCCGGAAUUAUUGGGCGUAAAGAGCUCGUAGGCGGCUUGUCGCGUCGGAUGUGAAAGCCCGGGGCUUAACUCCGGGUCUGCAUUCGAUACGGGCAGGCUAGAGUUCGGUAGGGGAGAUCGGAAUUCCUGGUGUAGCGGUGAAAUGCGCAGAUAUCAGGAGGAACACCGGUGGCGAAGGCGGAUCUCUGGGCCGAUACUGACGCUGAGGAGCGAAAGCGUGGGGAGCGAACAGG
rnacentral:rRNA from 1 species